GGAACUUGCUUUAUCUCUGUGGGAAUCUUUCCAACCACUGUGGACAUCCAAGAGCUAUGCUGCAGGGUUUGUAGGAAAGAGUACGUGGGGUGCCAUCAGAUGAUUCACCUUCAAAUAGCAUCAGUAAAAAAUCUCUUGGAUGGUUUCAAAGCAACCAGAUUGCCCUUUCCAGUGUCCUCAGAACUCAGCAAGAAGUGUUCGUUGGGCUCUUAAUUAUUCUUUGGACACUGGCACUGAACCUCAGUUUUUCCUAUAAGAAAGCUUAGAAAGAGCUCUGUGUAAGCUUCCUCUGAGGGUAGAGAAAGCAGCUGGAUUAGCUUUUGGAUUUCACUUCUGGUGUUCUGCAUAUGCUAUCACUAUGGAAUUCCUAUUGCAGCACCUUUUCUUAACAUCAGUCCCAAACCAGAUAUUAUAAUUAGGUGUCUACAUUUUAAUGAACAUUUGUAGGUGUAUGUAAAUAUUUUAAACUCACAAUAUCGCAGAGGUCUAAAAGUAUUAAUUUUUUUUUGUGCUAGGCGAGGUAGGUAUGGUUUUAAUAUGGUAGAAAAACUAGUACCUACCUGGGCAGUAUGGCAAUAUUAUAUAUGAAUUAAAGCUACUUCUGCUCAAGUUCCAUUGUGACCAGUCAGUGUUUAUUAAAUAAUUAUGAAUUUAUUGAUAACAUCUUGAAAUCUGCCUUUGAUAAGAUAAUCGUGUACUUACUACAGUAUUCUUGUGCUAGAACAGCAGCAAUCACUGACCAUGUAAAGUAAAGUUUUAGCAAACUCUCUUAAUCUAAAGUAAGUCUGGUAUUACUGGUCACUUAGUAAUUAUUUAAUCCAGAGGAUGAAAUUACGUCCUAGCCCUGCUGUAAAAAAUAGAGGCAAUUAUUUCAUAUGAUUUAAAAUCAAGUCCUAGAUAAUGACUUCGCAUUUAAGUGUGUAAUUACUGAUGUCCAUAAAUAAACAUCAUAACUCUGCUCAGAUAAUUAAAUUUAAACUAGUACUAAAGGAAGUUUAACUUCCUGGAAAUUUUGUUUGAUACUUUUCAGUACAAACUGAACUUCACUGCAAGUCUACAUCAGCUACAUGUUUGGAAGCAUCAGAAAUGAAACAAUUCAGUUUUAUAUAAGAAAACUGGGCAAUAGAUUUCCAUUUUUAUGCUGUGUGCAUGUAAUUUUAUGGGCUUUGA